rnacentral:rRNA from 1 species
GUUAGGAAUCUUCCACAAUGGGGGCAACCCUGAUGGAGCAACACCGCGUGCUGGAUGAAGGCCUUCGGGUCGUAAACAGCUUUUGUAUACGAAGAAUAUGACGGUAAUAUACGAAUAAGGGUCGGCUAACUACGUGCCAGCAGCCGCGGUCAUACGUAGGACCCAAGCGUUAUCCGGAGUGACUGGGCGUAAAGAGUUGCGUAGGCGGCUUAUUAAGCGAGUAGUGAAAUCUGGUGGCCCAACCAUCAACACAUUGCUCGAACUGAUAGGCUUGAGAAUGGUAGAGGUAGUUGGAAUUUCUUGUGUAGGAGUGAAAUCCGUAGAUAUAAGAAGGAACACCAAUGGCGUAGGCAGACUACUGGACCAUUUCUGACGCUGAGGCACGAAAGCGUGGGGAGCGAACCGGAUUAGAUACCCUAGUAGUCC